ACAUGCCUACAACAUAGCGUUAAUGCAUUGGAUCCCAUUAGAACUCUGUAGUUAAGCACACUCAAUCUAGAGUAGGACUGGUAUGGGUGACCGACCGAGAAGUCCUAGUGUUUUACAUGCA
rnacentral:rRNA from 1 species